rnacentral:rRNA from 1 species
UAACUCGAAUUAAUACCGCAUACGACCUACGGGUGAAAGGGGGCGCAAGCUCUUGCUAUUAGAUGAGCCUAAAUCAGAUUAGCUAGUUGGUGGGGUAAAGGCCCACCAAGGCGACGAUCUGUAACUGGCCUGAGAGGAUGAUCAGUCACACCGGAACUGAGACACGGUCCGGACUCCUACGGGAGGCAGCAGUGGGGAAUAUUGGACAAUGGGGGCAACCCUGAUCCAGCCAUGCCGCGUGUGUGAAGAAGGCCUUUUGGUUGUAAAGCACUUUAAGCAGGGAGGAGAGGCUAAUGGUUAAUACCCAUUAGAUUAGACGUUACCUGCAGAAUAAGCACCGGCUAACUCUGUGCCAGCAGCCGCGGUAAUACAGAGGGUGCGAGCGUUAAUCGGAAUUACUGGGCGUAAAGCGAGUGUAGGUGGCUCAUUAAGUCACAUGUGAAAUCCCCGGGCUUAACCUGGGAACUGCAUGUGAUACUGGUGGUGCUAGAAUAUGUGAGAGGGAAGUAGAAUUCCAGGUGUGGCGGUGAAAUGCGUAGAGAUCUGGAGGAAUACCGAUGGCGAAGGCAGCUUCCUGGCAUAAUAUUGACACUGAGAUUCGAAAGCGUGGGUAGCAAACAGGAUUAGAUACCCUGGUAGUCCACGCCGUAAACGAUGUCUACUAGCCGUUGGGGUCCUUGAGACUUUAGUGGCGCAGUUAACGCGAUAAGUAGACCGCCUGGGGAGUACGGCCGCAAGGUUAAAACUCAAAUGAAUUGACGGGGGCCCGCACAAGCGGUGGAGCAUGUGGUUUAAUUCGAUGCAACGCGAAGAACCUUACCUGGUCUUGACAUAGUGAGAAUCUUUCAGAGAUGAGAGAGUGCCUUCGGGAAUUCACAUACAGGUGCUGCAUGGCUGUCGUCAGCUCGUGUCGUGAGAUGUUGGGUUAAGUCCCGCAACGAGCGCAACCCUUUUCCUUAUUUGCCAGCGGGUUAAGCCGGGAACUUUAAGGAUACUGCCAGUGACAAACUGGAGGAAGGCGGGGACGACGUCAAGUCAUCAUGGCCCCUUACGACCAGGGCUACACACGUGCUACAAUGGUAGGUACAGAGGGUUGCUACACAGCGAUGUGAUGCUAAUCUCAAAAAGCCUAUCGUAGUCCGGAUUGGAGUCUGCAACUCGACUCCAUGAAGUCGGAAUCGCUAGUAAUCGCAGAUCAGAAUGCUGCGGUGAAUACGUUCCCGGGCCUUGUACACACCGCCCGUCACACCAUGGGAGUCUAUUGCACCAGAAGUAGGUAGCCUGACGAAAGAGGGCGCUUACCACGGUGUGGUCGAUGACUGGGGUGAAGUCGUAACAAGGUA